rfam:Aedes albopictus isolate Foshan contig196497, whole genome shotgun sequence.
UAGCCUAGUGGUUAAGGCAAUGGAUCGCUAACCCGAAGACGGCGGGUUCGACUCCCGU